ensembl:misc_RNA 7SK 7SK RNA
GGAUGGGAGGGCGAUCUGGCUGUGACAUCUGUGACCCCAUUGAUUGUCAGGGUUGAUUCGGCUCACUGGCUGGCUAGGCAGGUGUCCCCUUCCUCAGUCACCACUCCAUGUGCGUCCCUCCCAAAGCUGCGUGCUUGAUUGAAGAGGACAACCUUCCCUGAUGUAGAAGGACCAUUCUUCGGUCAAGGGUAUACGAGUAGCUGCACUCCCCUGCUAGAACCUCCAAACAAGCUCUCAAGGUCCACUUGUUUUAGAAUGUAGAGCAGUCAAGCUUCCAAGACUCCAGACACAUCCCAAUGAGGCGCUGCAUGUGGCAGUCUGCCUUUCAAA